ensembl:lncRNA novel transcript
GCAUGCCCUGUGACCAGGCAGGGAUGGGCUAUGUCGCUGUUGGGGACCACGAGGGAUGGCCAGUGAGGAGGGGUCAGAGGCUGUGAGGGGAGGACUGAGGCUGGGUGCGGUGGCUCACAUCUGUAAUCCCAGUAGUUUGGGAGACCGAGGCAGGUGGAUCAUGAGGCCAGGAGUUCCAGACCACCCUGACCAACAUGGUGAAACCCCGUCUCUACUAAAAAUAC